GACGAAAGAGGGAGGCGUGCUUAACACAUGCAAGUCGAACGGAAAGGCCCUGCUUUUGUGGGGUGCUCGAGUGGCGAACGGGUGAGUAACACGUGAGUAACCUGCCCUUGACUUUGGGAUAACUUCAGGAAACUGGGGCUAAUACCGGAUAGGAGCUCCUGCUGCAUGGUGGGGGUUGGAAAGUUUCGGCGGUUGGGGAUGGACUCGCGGCUUAUCAGCUUGUUGGUGGGGUAGUGGCUUACCAAGGCUUUGACGGGUAGCCGGCCUGAGAGGGUGACCGGCCACAUUGGGACUGAGAUACGGCCCAGACUCCUACGGGAGGCAGCAGUGGGGAAUAUUGCACAAUGGGCGGAAGCCUGAUGCAGCAACGCCGCGUGCGGGAUGACGGCCUUCGGGUUGUAAACCGCUUUCGCCUGUGACGAAGCGUGAGUGACGGUAAUGGGUAAAGAAGCACCGGCUAACUACGUG
rnacentral:rRNA from 1 species